AGAGUUUGAUCCUGGCUCAGGACGAACGCUGGCGGCGUGCCUAAUACAUGCAAGUAGAACGCUGAAGAGAGGAGCUUGCUCUUCUUGGAUGAGUUGCGAACGGGUGAGUAACGCGUAGGUAACCUGCCUUGUAGCGGGGGAUAACUAUUGGAAACGAUAGCUAAUACCGCAUAACAAUGGAUGACCCAUGUCAUUUAUUUGAAAGGGGCAAAUGCUCCACUACAAGAUGGACCUGCGUUGUAUUAGCUAGUAGGUGAGGUAACGGCUCACCUAGGCGACGAUACAUAGCCGACCUGAGAGGGUGAUCGGCCACACUGGGACUGAGACACGGCCCAGACUCCUGCGGGAGGCAGCAGUAGGGAAUCUUCGGCAAUGGGGGCAACCCUGACCGAGCAACGCCGCGUGAGUGAAGAAGGUUUUCGGAUCGUAAAGCUCUGUUGUAAGUCAAGAACGAGUGUGAGAGUGGAAAGUUCACACUGUGACGGUAGCUUACCAGAAAGGGACGGCUAACUACGUGCCAGCAGCCGCGGUAAUACGUAGGUCCCGAGCGUUGUCCGGAUUUAUUGGGCGUAAAGCGAGCGCAGGCGGUUUGAUAAGUCUGAAGUUAAAGGCUGUGGCUCAACCAUAGUUCGCUUUGGAAACUGUCAAACUUGAGUGCAGAAGGGGAGAGUGGAAUUCCAUGUGUAGCGGUGAAAUGCGUAGAUAUAUGGAGGAACACCGGUGGCGAAAGCGGCUCUCUGGUCUGUAACUGACGCUGAGGCUCGAAAGCGUGGGGAGCGAACAGGAUUAGAUACCCUGGUAGUCCACGCCGUAAACGAUGAGUGCUAGGUGUUGGAUCCUUUCCGGGAUUCAGUGCCGCAGCUAACGCAUUAAGCACUCCGCCUGGGGAGUACGACCGCAAGGUUGAAACUCAAAGGAAUUGACGGGGGCCCGCACAAGCGGUGGAGCAUGUGGUUUAAUUCGAAGCAACGCGAAGAACCUUACCAGGUCUUGACAUCCCGAUGCUAUUUCUAGAGAUAGAAAGUUACUUCGGUACAUCGGUGACAGGUGGUGCAUGGUUGUCGUCAGCUCGUGUCGUGAGAUGUUGGGUUAAGUCCCGCAACGAGCGCAACCCCUAUUGUUAGUUGCCAUCAUUCAGUUGGGCACUCUAGCGAGACUGCCGGUAAUAAACCGGAGGAAGGUGGGGAUGACGUCAAAUCAUCAUGCCCCUUAUGACCUGGGCUACACACGUGCUACAAUGGUUGGUACAACGAGUUGCGAGUCGGUGACGGCAAGCUAAUCUCUUAAAGCCAAUCUCAGUUCGGAUUGUAGGCUGCAACUCGCCUACAUGAAGUCGGAAUCGCUAGUAAUCGCGGAUCAGCACGCCGCGGUGAAUACGUUCCCGGGCCUUGUACACACCGCCCGUCACACCACGAGAGUUUGUAACACCCGAAGUCGGUGAGGUAACCUUUUGGAGCCAGCCGCCUAAGGUGGGAUAGAUGAUUGGGGUGAAGUCGUAACAAGGUA
rnacentral:rRNA from 1 species